AAGUCGUAACAAGGUCUCCGUUGGUGAACCAGCGGAGGGAUCAUUAUAGAGUUUUCUAAACUCCCAACCCAUGUGAACUUACCUUUUGUUGCCUCGGCAGAAGUUAUAGGUCUUCUUAUAGCUGCUGCCGGUGGACCAUUAAACUCUUGUUAUUUUAUGUAAUCUGAGCGUCUUAUUUUAAUAAGUCAAAACUUUCAACAACGGAUCUCUUGGCUCUC
rnacentral:misc_RNA from 1 species